UGUGCUUUCACCCAGUCCGGAGGGGACCUC
rnacentral:sRNA from 1 species